rnacentral:rRNA from 1 species
GAUGAGCGCUGGCGGCGUGCCUAACACAUGCAAGUCGAACGAUGAAACCGCCCUCGGGCGGACAUGAAGUGGCGAACGGGUGAGUAACACGUGACCAACCUGCCCCUUGCUCCGGGACAACCUUGGGAAACCGAGGCUAAUACCGGAUACUCCUCGCCCCCCUCCUGGGGGGCCCGGGAAAGCCCAGACGGCAAGGGAUGGGGUCGCGGCCCAUUAGGUAGUAGGCGGGGUAACGGCCCACCUAGCCCGCGAUGGGUAGCCGGGUUGAGAGACCGACCGGCCACAUUGGGACUGAGAUACGGCCCAGACUCCUACGGGAGGCAGCAGUGGGGAAUUUUGCGCAAUGGGGGCAACCCUGACGCAGCAACGCCGCGUGCGGGACGACGGCCUUCGGGUUGUAAACCGCUUUCAGCGGGGAAGAAAUUCGACGGUA